CCCUUUGUGGUGUAGUUGGUAUCACACUCGGCUGUAAUAGAUGUUUCAGACUACCGAUUGGUCACCGGUUCGACUCCGGUCGAAGGGA
rnacentral:tRNA from 1 species